rnacentral:rRNA from 1 species
CCUACGGGUGGCAGCAGUGAGGAAUAUUGGUCAAUGGACGAGAGUCUGAACCAGCCAAGUAGCGUGAAGGAUGACGGCCCUAUGGGUUGUAAACUUCUUUUAUAGGGGAAUAAAAUGUUCCACGUGUGGGAUUUUGUAUGUACCAUAUGAAUAAGGAUCGGCUAACUCCGUGCCAGCAGCCGCGGUAAUACGGAGGAUCCGAGCGUUAUGCGGAUUUAUUGGGUUUAAAGGGAGCGUAGGCGGGUUUUUAAGUCAGUUGUGAAAGUUUGCGGCUCAACCGUAAAAUUGCAGUUGAUACUGGCAGUCUUGAGUACAGUAGCGGUGGGCGGAAUUCGUGGUGUAGCGGUGAAAUGCUUAGAUAUCACGAAGAACUCCGAUUGCGAAGGCAGUUCACUGGACUGCAACUGACACUGAGGCUCGAAAGUGUGGGUAUCAAACAGGAUUAGAUACCCUUGUAGUC